UGAUGACGUCACCUAGAAACGUCUGGAAGCUUUUGAACGUAACACAGGAUGUCAGUGUAACCGCAGCGCGGUUUGUUUGCGGUGAAAGAUUCUUUUUUCCCGGAGAAACAUCAAAGGUCUAAUCAGCUCUGAAGCUGCAGAGGAGAUGAGGACGAGGAGGAGGAGGAGGAGGAGAGAAACAGCGAACGUUAGAGGAGGAGACAAACGUUAGAGGAGGAGACAAACGGAGGAGGAGACAAACGUUAGAGGAGGAGACAAACGAGACGAGACUCAAACCCGGAACCCAGAUAUUUAUGUCUACUGUCUGAUUCCGCUGAGUGGAGCUUAAUCAGAUCCAGAGUGAGCUCCGUCGGUAUUCAAGCUCGCCGCUGGGAAGAAAAGGGAGAUAAAGUGAGGGUUGGAAAUCCUUCACUCACAUUUACUGCUGGGGCACAAACUUACCCGAGGAGGCAGCAGUUGACCAGCAGUUGACCAGCAGUUAACCAGCAGUUGACCAGCAGCUGACCAGCAGUUGACCAGCAGUUAACCAGCAGCUGACCAGCAGCUGACCAGCAGCUCUUGUGUCCCAAACUGAUUGAUGCCUGAAGGUCACAGGUUCGGAUCCCGGUUCUGAAAGUCCUGCACAGUACAAAGUAGUUUAAACAUCUGGGUUCUGGAUCGCUCUGCAACAGACACGGGGUUUCUCGGCACUGAUGGAAACAUGACACAUUGGUGAACAUGCUAUUUGGGCAAGGACGCCCAGACCACGCUCUCCCCAGUCACUUCUGCCAGGUCCUCCAGGAGGGGAUCCCAAGUUGUUCCCCAGCCAGCUGAGAGAGAUAAUCCCUCCCUCCAGCCCUGAGGCCUCCUCCUCGGAAGGAUAUGCCCUACAGGCAUCCAAGAGGCAUCCUAACCAGAUGCCAGAACCACCUCACAAUUGCUCCUCUCGAUGUGGGGGGAGCAGCGUUUCUACUCUGAGCCCCUCCCAGAUGUCCGAGCCUAUCUCUACCCUGCGGAGGAACCUCAUUCCGGCCGUCUGUAUUCACGAUCUUGUUCUUUCAAUGAUUACCCAAAGCUCUUGAUCAUACUGAUCGACCAGUAAAUCAAGGCUCAGCUCCCUUUUCACCAGUUGAGCGUCCACAUCACUGCAGACGCUGCCCCCGUUCCACCUGUCGCUCUCCACCUCCAUCCUUCCCCCUCUUCUGAAGGAGACCUCAAGAUUUGAGCUAAUAACGUUGGCAGUUUCGGUACAAGGAGUAACAACACAGUUCUGGAAGUGAUUGGAAAUCGCCGUGAAGUCCCUGAAGUGAAAAACAUAAGAGGUUUAGCAGCUGUGUCGGUGUCAGCGCUCUCACUGGUGCUCCUCCGUUCCAUAACCUUGACACUGAACAUGACUCAGGAAAGGGAGAAACUGAAACCUCCCGUGGGUGACACUCUGGAACCACUGUUCUUCCGAGGUCCUUAUGUGGGAAGACCCUCCAGAAAAGGGAGGAAUUCCCCAACAAUUCCCAACUGGAAGUUUGUUAAAGUACCUCUGAAGAGAAAGUGUUUGUGCAGAGACAAACCAUUCACACUCAUUUGUAAUCAGUGUGUAGAAGUUAUACAAUUUUGGAGGGAUUAUUGGCUGAAUUUGAAGGUUCUUGCCGUGUAUGAACUUACCUUCACUCUAUGGCACUUCAGCAAGAACGGAACAUAGUUGACAUGGAACCAUUACCUUUCUACCACAUCUUUACAUUAACUACAUGCUCCUUUGUCUGUGUCAAUGUCCAGACUUCACCAGCAGGAGUUGUUAUUUCCUUCUUUUCCUGAGCGUUUGCUGGAGUUGAAAACACCAGCAGACUCCAGACUUUAAAGGCCCCGGCCCAGUCAGUCAGUCAGUCAGAGACCACACGGCUCCCACUUCACCGCAUACAAAGAGCACCGUGAGGCAAACACCUUGGAGAGCCACGAGGUUGUUCUCGCUAACAACUUUACUUGGCACGGCGGUGCCUCUUUUCUCUCGCAGAGGCAGGAAGUGAGAAAAGGGCACAUGAAGAGAGCGGUUAGGCUCUUUAAACGGAGGGGUAGCGCUGCCCGUAUCGCUUCCAAAAAUAAAAAUAAAGGAAUGAAAGAGGGGAGGAGAGGGGAAGAAAAAAACAGCUUUUUAAGUGUGUUUGUGUUUGAAGCAAAGGAGCAAAGGUGUGCGUUAGCGUUUGAGGCAAAAGGCAGGAGUAUGUGCUCUGUGUGUGUGUGUGUGUGUGUGUGUGUGUGUAGUCCCUCUUGCCCGAUUUAAAAAACAACCGUUGCCCAGGUAAAUGGCACGCUGUCCUCUGCACAUGCCCGGUGGCUUUCGCUUUCUCUUCACAGGGAAGAGUUCAGAGGGCCAGUUAGCACCAUUCAGAGCAGACCCUGAGGCUUCAGUCAAACACACACACACACGGAUAUCCAUGCAGUUGUUUCUUAAAGCACACAAACACAUUCACACAUGAUCAGCGGCUCUCAUAAAUUCAUGCAGCAGCGGCUCCACACACACACACACACACACACACACAGUUAGCCCAUGGCUACAGUGUUCAAACAGCCGUGAUAUUGAAAUCCAGCAGUAGGAGGAACAGUGGGUUUUUGCUGAGGUCCAAAGCAGGUUAUUGAUCAAGGUUAGUUUACUGUGAAAACUCUGUUUAUGGCCAAAGGCCAUUCACACCAGUGUGUGUGUGUGUGUGUGUGUGUGUGUGUUACAGACAUAGGCGUACAGAUGUAAGAAUGUCUGUAGGUGUGUGUUUUAUUUAUGCAACACUACAUUAACACCCAUGUGCUUCAGUUAAUCUCUAACCAGAUGAACCGUCGAGGUUUUGGUCCAGAAGAAUCGUUCCUUAGCAUCGUCAGCUCAUUAAAGCUGAGUUGGGUAACUCCCCAGCAUCUCACUCACUCAUCUUCUGCCAGUCCAUCACAGGGCCACAUAUAGAGACAGACAACCAUUAACUCUCAUUAACUCUCACAACUCUCCAAUUUACCUAAUCCCCAAAUCUGUAUGUCUUUGGACUGUGGGAGGAAACCAGAGAACCCGGAGAAAACCCAUGCACACACGGGGAGAACAUGCAAACUCCAUGCAGAAAGACCCUUGUUCAAAGACAAGAGUGCUAACCAUUACACCAACUGUGUGGCCCCCCCAGUGGGUCCCAAGUGGGUUUUGUCUGUGGUUUCCAUGGUGGACCCCUUCAGUGUUUGCCCACGUGGGCUUCCCAUGUGGAGUCCACCAUAUGGGACCUGCAUAAUUUGCCCACUUAGUACCCAGGUAGCUUGGAAAGGGUACGAAGUGGAGCCCAAAUAUAACCCUUAUGGGGCCCUGCAUGGACAUGCUGGCAGGGUUUUAAUGUGUGUUGCACUCAAAUCUCCCUGUGUUCUCAGAUUCAUCAGGAUCGUUGCACUCAUGAAGCGAGACGGCUGCAAACUGCUGUUGAAGUACAACUGGAAAUGCCAAGUUACGCCCAAGAAAAGAUUCACAAGCUGCUCACGUUGUCCUGCCUCUGUGUGAUUUGUGAGAGAUGGGACGUGACAGGAUGAGUCGGCAGCUCAGAUUGAAAAAGGCCACAGAGGAUCGCGACAAACGAGUCCGGAAAGUAAUGUGGCACCUGCUGCUCAAGUCCGGCAUCAGGAGAGGUGGAGAACUGGGGGAGCGCUGGUGGAGGUAAAGAAGCUAAAGAUGUGAAAGUAAAAGGACAGACAGAGAGAGAGAGAGAGAGAGAGAGAGAUGAGGUAUAAAGUGUCUCUCGCUCUCUUGUUUUCACUGUGAUGGAUGCACGACUGUGGAUCAUGCACCAGACCUGUCAGUGUUCCUAAUUAAAAUUUUAUACUUACAGGCUCGGAGGGAAAAAAAGAGAAAAGGAUGAAAGAAAAAAAAAGAGGUGGAACUCGGCACUCGGUAAACAAUCACUCAUGAGAGGAAGAAGAGAGAAGCCGUCACAUUUUCACAAGGUUUGUGGCCCUGGGAGGUGAAGUGGAGGAAAUCAAUCACACAGUGUGUGACACACGGAGUCCUUUACUGACUGCUGAGACUGACAUCAUGACAAAUACACGCAGGACUUGUCGCCCUCUACUGGACAGAGCAGGACAAAGACGCAGUUCUCACUUUUCUUGUUGGAGACGAGGAUAAAGAGAAUUAAGAAAAUACAAACGUCAACAAGGCGCCUACCAAACUACAAAUCUUGUGACUCAUCAAACCCCCAGAGGAGCAUCCACACUACUGGGUUUUCAUUUAAAACAGUGUUUUCAGCUGCAGCAGCUCCAAAACACCACCUCCUCUUUCUCACUGUGGACACUGAUGAGCUCCUGUGGAAGGAAACAGUGGUUGUUCCAGUAAAGAGUAGAAGUAUCUGUAGCAGUGCUGCUGAUGGUGGGUGGGGGGGCAGAAUUCUGACAUGAUGUUGCCCUCUUCUGGCAGGUGUGUGCAACUGCAGCUCACCUACAACAACUCACAGUACAUG